rnacentral:rRNA from 1 species
UACGUAGGGGGCAAGCGUUGUCCGGAUUUAUUGGGCGUAAAGAGCGUGUAGGCGGCCAGACAGGUCCGUUGUGAAAACUCGAGGCUCAACCUCGAGACGCCGAUGGAAACCGUCUGGCUAGAGUCCGGAAGAGGAGAGUGGAAUUCCUGGUGUAGCGGUGGAAAUGCGCAGAUAUCAGGAAGAACACCCGUGGCUAAGGCGGCUCUCAGUACGGUACUGACGCUGAGACGCGAAAGCGUGGGGAGCAAAACAGG